rnacentral:rRNA from 1 species
UACGUAGGGGGCUAGCGUUGUCCGGAUUUAUUGGGCGUAAAGAGCGUGUAGGCGGCCAUGUAGGUCCGGUGUGAAAACUCGAGGCUUAACCUCGAGAUGUCAUCGGAAACCAUUUGGCUAGAGUCCGGAAGAGGAGAGUGGAAUUCCCGGUGUAGAGGUGAAAUUCGUAGAUAUCGGGAGGAACACCGGUGGCGAAGGCGGCGACCUGGGUAGAUACUGACGCUGAGGCGCGAAGCGUGGGGAGCGAAACAGG